UGGGGAAUCUUGCACAAUGGGGGAAACCCUGAUGCAGCGACGCCGCGUGAUUUAGAAGGCCUUCGGGUUGUAAAAAUCUUUUUUACGGGAUGAAAAUGACAGUACCGUAAGAAUAAGGUCCGGCUAAAUACGUGCCAGCAGCCGCGGGAAUACGUAUGGACCGAGCGUUGUCCGGAAUCAUUGGGCGUAAAGGGUACGUAGGCGGCCUAGUAAGUUAGAAGUGAAAUAAUAUAGCUCAACUAUAUAAAGCUUUUAAAACUGCUAGGCUUGAGAGAUGGAAGGGAAAGUGGAAUUCCUAGUGUAGCGGUGAAAUGCGCAGAUAUUAGGAAGAAUACCAGUGGCGAAGGCGACUUUCUGGUCAUCAUCUGACGCUGAGGUACGAAAGCGUGGGUAGCAAACAGG
rnacentral:rRNA from 1 species